rnacentral:misc_RNA from 1 species
ACACUGGAUGUUUACGUUCAACAGACGCAAUGUUAAAUUGUUUUAUCUUGGCAAGUUUGUAUCAACUUUACACUUGUCAAAUACUGUACCAGCCUUUGGUAGCCAACAACGCCAUUUUAGACAAGGGAACAGAAUCAGAACUGCAUUUGGUAUUAAACAAUUGUGAAGAAAGUCUUCAGAGUGAAAACAGAGAGUUCAGAGAAUUGUCGAGGAAUGCCGAACAAUUGACCAACCAGAUGGAAACAACAAAAAUGGCCCUCAUGGCCCUACAACAACAAUACAACGUUACAGAUUCAAAUGUGGUUGAAAUAUGCAAGAUUCAUCCAACUCUGAUCCUACCCUAUCCAUAUAAAUGCCAACAAUACUACAACUGUUCACUGUUGGAAGACUCCGCGCUGGCCAGUAAAUUUUGCUUUCCUCGAUGGCAUUUAACAGAAUGCAUCUACCCUGAUCUAUUUUCAGCGGAAACCCUGAAAUGUGAAAAUUUCACAACAGUAACAUGUGGAUCUCGACACGAGCAUAAAUGGUUGUGUGACUACACGAGGUCACGUCCUACUUGUGGUCCUCAUCGCGGACCAACUUGUGCUGAUUAAAAUCCAACAUGCAUUGGUGACCCGGACGGAAUACAGCAAGACAAAAGAGGAGACCCCCGUUCUACAAGAUCUGUUUCAAAGAGCGAGUAAUCGAGUCGGGAAGGUGUCCAUAUAAUGAUUCAUGGAAAACACAAUCGUUUCUGUAGAACGGGCAAUGUAUUCCUGCAUAUGAGAUUCCAGAAAACGAACACAAAAAUGGCAGACUUCCAUCUUGUGUUGGAAAGAGUGACGAAAGCUAUCAGUAUUCAGAUGCAGGUCAUAAAUGUGAUGCAUAUUUCACGUGCAACAACGGAACAACGCGAGGUAUCAAGUGUCCAGUUCUUUGAUAUUGAUCAACGUCGGUAGUUGUCGUCAAGGCGCAAAUUGUGUAUAAAUAUAUGGUUAUCAUAAAACAUUAA